rnacentral:rRNA from 1 species
UACGUAGGUGGCAAGCGUUGUCCGGAUUUACUGGGCGUAAAGAGCGCGCAGGCGGUCGUUCAAGUCGCGUGUGAAAGCCCCCGGCUCAACUGGGGAGGGUCACGCGAUACUGAUCGACUGGAAGGCAGGAGAGGGUAGUGGAAUUCCCGGUGUAGUGGUGAAAUGCGUAGAUAUCAGGAAGAACACCCGUGGCGAAGGCGGCUCUCUGGGACGGUACUGACGCUCAGACGCGAAAGCGUGGGGAGCAAACAGG